CCUACGGGAGGCAGCAGUGAGGAAUAUUCGUCAAUGGGCGCGAGCCUGAACCAGCCAAGUAGCGUGAAGGAUGACUGCCCUACGGGCUGUAAACUUCUUUUAUAAAGGAAUAAAGUGAGGAAAGUGUGCCUUUUUGUAUGUACUUUAUGAAUAAGGAUCGGCUAACUCCGUGCCAGCAGCCGCGGUAAUACGGAGGAUCCGAGCGUUAUCCGGAUUUAUUGGGUUUAAAGGGAGCGUAGAUGGGUUGUUAAGUAAGUUGUGAAAGUUUUCGGCUCAAACGUAAAAUUGAAAUUGAUACUGGCAGACUUGAGUGCAGAUGAGGAGGGUGGAAUUCGAGGUGUAGCGGUGAAAUGCUUAGAUAUAACGAAGAACUCCGAUUGCGAAGGCAGCUUACUAAUCUGCCACUGACAUUGAGGUUCGAAAGUGUGGGUAUCAAACAGGAUUAGAUACCCUUGUAGUC
rnacentral:rRNA from 1 species